UACAGCAUUAUAUGGAAUUUAACUGUGUAUGAGAAUCUCACAAAUGGUGACACUUUCACAUACAUUAAUUUAUGAGCUCAGCAAAACAGCAAAUAAUCUCUUCCUUUUUUGUGGCUCCUCCUCAGAUACACAUAAAGCUGACAGUAAAGUUCAGGUCUGUUUCUCUCUCUGUCUGAUGAUCAUGAUGUUCAAGCUAAACCAAGCAGCACUUCUCUUCAUUCAGCUGUUAGUGGUGUGUCAUGUCUUUGCAGACACUUUUAAAGACGACCACAGAGCUGUGCUGGUAUCCAGAGGACACUCAGUGAUGCUGAGUUGCAACAUAUCCAAGACAAAUGCAACACUGAUCACCUGGACCAACAGCAGAUCUGUUUUUCAAUAUUCCACUGUGCUGAAUUGCACCCAUUCAAAUUUCUCAUUUCAUAGACUGAAAAUAAAUCAUGAGUUCCCUACAAAGCUAAUUAUUUUUAGUGCUCAACCUGAAGAUGAAGGACUUUAUAAAUGUAUCAUAGCUGACCUAGAUCGCCUACACAGCAUUACAUGGAAUUUAACUGUGUCUGAGAACCCAGAAGAUUCAAUUUCAUCACAAUAUUUUCUAUACAUACUCCCACCUGCAAUUGGAUUCCUUCUGUGUGGCAUCACACCAGCUGUUUUCCUCUACAGGUGAGUAAAACCUUUAUAACUUCAUGAUGAAUGCAUGAAUGUUGCUCUUUUUUAUGCUGCUGCAGAACUGCUGUCGGUACUUUCAAGACUGGUUUGCUUAAUACUCUUGAACAUAGUUUUUUAUUGUGUAUGCCUGCAUUUAAAGUGUCACUUUACCUCAAAUUACAAAUGAUUAUUUUUAUGUUGACCAAGCAGUUUAGUUUUAUUUAUAUGUCCAGGUUUACAAAUAUCUGAAGGCUUCAUCAAAUAAGAAGAGAAGAGGGACCUGAAAACGUGUUUGUGUGCCUUUUAUCAUGAUGUUUAUGGACUUGGAGAUUUAAAUUGUUAUAUUUCCAUCAUGUAUUUACAGCAUGAAAAAGAAACCACCUACAAGAUAACAUUAAAUAAAAUAUAUGCUGUAGUUCAGGUAAAGUAGAUUCAUAAACUCAAAAUGAACUGACUCAGUUCAUUUCAGUUAAAUAAGAAAAUAAUCACAUUAGUGGUCAGAGGCUGAAUGCUCACACCAAACCAAUUAUUCAUCUGCAAAACUCCUCAUUUCACUUCUGAGGCCAGAACUUCUUUUUAUUGCUAUUUUUUUAAAAAUUUUAUUUCACAAAAUGAUCGAUUAUUAUACACAAGUAGCAAGUUUUUUUUUUUAAACUAAGCACUGUAACCUAUUCUGAAUUUAAAGUGGUGAAUCAGCUCUCUGUAUUUUUUUUUUUUUUUUUUUUGCUUGGUUUAUUUUUCUAUAUAGCAGUAGGUGAAAAAAGGAAAUGUCACUUGUAAAGAAAUAGGUGGUAAGAGUCAAAGCUGUCAUUGACUUUGGGGCCAUAGAUUUGUUCAACAAAUUGUAAAAUAACAAACAACAGACCUGGAGUCUUGGUACCAAAGCUUAUAUGGGGUCUUGUGUGUCUCUGUUUAAUAUUCAGUCCUUCAAUAAUUAAUAUUUUUAUUUCUUACUAUAUGGAGAGACUGAAUUCAAUCUAUGUUCACUUCUGAGAUGAUGAACCUUCCUGUUACUGAGAGACAUGGACAGCUUUUAUUUUUAUUUUAUUGUGAAGACCCCAGACAGCUGAUCACUCACCACUACAUAUAUAUGUAUAACUGUAUUAAAAUCCACUCGGCAUCUAGUAUAUAUACACUGUGAAAGCAUAAAUAAACACAUCAAACCAGUUAAACUUCUCAGAUAUGAUUUGGUAAGUACUAAAGGAGGUUGUUAAUCAGUUCCAGCUGCUUUGAUGUUAAUGAAAUAAACAAUCGGCGCAUUAGAGGGGCAACAAUGAAACAACCCCCUAAACAGGAAUGUUUUUACAGUUGGAGGGAACUGAGAUUUUUUCCCUCCUCAUCUUUUAUGUUUUUUCUCACUAGUUUUGCAUUUGGUGAGGGUCAGUGUCACCAGUGGUAGCAAGAGCUGAUAAGUAACACGUGUUAAUAAAGAAAUGCAGAGGUUGCGCAGGUAGUCCAACUCCUCUGGCAUGUCACAUCAACACAUAACACUGCAUGAAGGUCUGAAGAGCAAGGAGGAGAUGGUCUGAGGAGGCAUAUCCAGAGAGGAAUGGACAGACCUCGACAGGUAAGGCAACAGCACCAUGACUGCCAUUAGGUAUUUGGAUUAAAUUCUGGGAAUCAUUGUUAGAGUUAUGUUGGUGUAGUGGGUUUUCCCUGACCCUGUAGACCCCUGAAACCCUGGUCUUCCCCCCCCACGUGUAUAUAGUGCGCCCGGUGUGGAUUAAUAAAGAACUGUUUAACUGUAUCUCUCAGUCUGCGCAUGAGUCUGUCCCGCCUGCCCUGACAGAAGGAAGACAGGAUAAAAGACAUGCUGUGGAAGAGAGCCAGAGAUUAAUAACAAGUAUGAUUCAGUGCAGAGAGGUGUAUUAACACUAUUAGCACUAUUAAGGUGACUGAAGAACAAAUACUCAGUACAUCAUGAGAACCCCCCAGAAGCCUUCGCAUAUUGCUGCAUAACUGAGGGAGGAAUUGGGGUCCAACCCUAACUAUGUUCAUAUAUUAUUUACCUGUUUUACUGUUAUACUCUAAUACAACACUAACAUGGUGACACUGAGAGUGAAGGGUAUGAUUAAGG
ensembl:lncRNA